rnacentral:rRNA from 1 species
GACGAACGCUGGCGGCGUGCUUAACACAUGCAAGUCGAACGGAAAGGCCCUGCUUUUGUGGGGUGCUCGAGUGGCGAACGGGUGAGUAACACGUGAGUAACGUGCCCUUGACUUUGGGAUAACUUCAGGAAACUGGGGCUAAUACCGGAUAGGAGCUCCUGCUGCAUGGUGGGGGUUGGAAAGUUUCGGCGGUUGGGGAUGGACUCGCGGCUUAUCAGCUUGUUGGUGGGGUAGUGGCUUACCAAGGCUUUGACGGGUAGCCGGCCUGAGAGGGUGACCGGCCACAUUGGGCCUGAGAUACGGCCCAGACUCCUACGGGAGGCAGCAGUGGGGAAUAUUGCACAAUGGGCGGAAGCCUGAUGCAGCAACGCCGCGUGCGGGAUGACGGCCUUCGGGUUGUAAACCGCUUUCGCCUGUGACGAAGCGUGAGUGACGGUAAUGGGUAAAGAAGCACCGGCUAACUACGUG